rnacentral:rRNA from 1 species
CCUACGGGUGGCUGCAGUGGGGAAUAUUGGACAAUGGGGGCAACCCUGAUCCAGCCAUGCCGCGUGUGUGAAGAAGGCCCUCGGGUUGUAAAGCACUUUCAGUGAGGAAGAACGCCUGGUGGUUAAUACCCAUCAGGAAAGACAUCACUCACAGAAGAAGCACCGGCUAACUCCGUGCCAGCAGCCGCGGUAAUACGGAGGGUGCGAGCGUUAAUCGGAAUUACUGGGCGUAAAGCGCGCGUAGGUGGCUUGAUAAGCCGGUUGUGAAAGCCCCGGGCUCAACCUGGGAACGGCAUCCGGAACUGUCAAGCUAGAGUGCAGGAGAGGAAGGUAGAAUUCCCGGUGUAGCGGUGAAAUGCGUAGAGAUCGGGAGGAAUACCAGUGGCGAAGGCGGCCUUCUGGACUGACACUGACGCUGAGGUGCGAAAGCGUGGGUAGCAAACAGGAUUAGAUACCCCUGUAGUC